rnacentral:rRNA from 1 species
CUUAGUGGCGGACGGGUGAGUAACGCGUGGGUAACCUGCCCUAUACUGGGGGAUAACAGCUAGAAAUGGCUGCUAAUACCGCAUGAGCGCACAGUCCCGCAUGGGACAGUGCGGAAAACUCCGGUGGUAUAGGAUGGACCCGCGUCCGAUCAGCUGGUUGGUGGGGUAACGGCCCACCAAGGCGACGAUCGGUAGCCGACCUGAGAGGGUGACCGGCCACAUUGGGACUGAGACACGGCCCAAACUCCUACGGGAGGCAGCAG